rnacentral:lncRNA from 1 species
UAUUAAAACACAUGUUUUAGACAUUUUCGAAAUGUUUUGAAAAAACAUUAAGUAAACUUAGUCCACUAAUGCAAGUCACCGAAAAUUUUUUCCUUACUGAUUAGUUUAAAAAACUUUUAUUACAAAAGUCAUCAAUGCAGAUUCUACUCUGACUUUGUAUUAAGUUCAGCCAAAUUUUGUUAUGUGAGAUCAUCCUUUAGGUUAUUUCAGCUUGUGAACCGCCAUACACUACAGCUUUCUGCCUCCACUAAACACUGUGAUGGAGGUGGGAAUGGAGGCCUUGGAGGGAAAGCAGAAGGCAUGGAUUUGGCUUCUGGUCUAUCUGAUUUUGCUUCAAGAUUCAGAGAUGUAUAGGUUUAUCACGCUCUCGCUAAACUGAAUGACUUCAACCCUUGGUGUCCCGUUUCCUUGUUUUUUCAUGUUCCUUGAAGUCUUGCCUUGCUGUCUUCACCCCUGAAGAAGCAGUCACCUCCUCCAUCAAGCGACUGGCUUCAGGAGAGAAACACACACCUUGGGUCACCCUGUGAGGGACUGAGGCGUUCUCAGACCGUUUCUGUGGCCACGUGUGCUCCACACUUCUUGUUCCUUCUUGGGAGGGAAUUCUUAAGGUUGUCUGCCUUCUCUGGAUGCUGCAGAGCCAGGCCGGUGCGGGCAGCCUCCCUUUUGCUUUCUCCAGGUCCCAUUGAAUGCUGAAGUUUGCAUACUUUCUCUCAAUCCCGCUCACUAGCCAUCUGCGAAGACUCACCAACCUUGGGUGGGGGUCGGGUGCGCACCCACAGCACCGGCCAGGGGGUGGGGGUGUGGGGAGUGAGAUGUGUGCAGCACUGGGGUGUCCGUGGGCCGUCUGGGGAGAUCCGCAGGCAAGCUGUCCCCAGCAGCUUGUGGGUGGGCUUCCUGAUGGAGUCCGCAAAGUGGCUGGUAGAAUUGUCCUUUUGAAGCCCUCCGAGUGCCCGGGCUGCCUUCUCCCAGGCCCCUCCACCCCCCCACCGGUCGUGCAGCACACCCGGCGUUCUGGAUGCGGGGAGAGAGAGAAGUGGGCAGGCUGCCCUACAGUUGGGGAAGCCAGACGCUCACGCCCACGCUCUCACCUCCCCCUUGGGGAGAAAUCGCUGGCGAAAGGGGCUCUGUUGGCUCUGGGCUGUGCGCUGGGGGAGGAGUCACAGGAAAAGUGACACUGGUCCUCUUCAUUGCGUCCAAUCUCAGGUUUUGUUUUGCUCCCACAGUGUGCUGGAAGUUCGCGGGUCUCUGGGAUUCCCACAAAGGUGCUCUUAUCCGCGGAUGAUGGUCAACAUCAGUGUUCGUUGGGGUAAGGCGGUAGAAAACUCCUACUCCGCCAUUUUGAUGGCACCGCUCUUCUUAAAUGACAUUUUAGUAUCACCUGUUGCUUUCCUUUGUCUGUGAUUUGUCUGAUCUAAUUCACAUGAACGCUCAGGAGAACAGUGGCUGGGUUUUGUUCUGUCUUGCUUUCACUUUAAUCAUAAACAAGCAUCUUUGGGGCCCAUUUGGCUACACGACCAAGGAAAGUCACCUCAAAUUUUCAGCCUGUCACUGUCGUCUACACCAAGGCCCCUCCCUGAACUAGAGAAACAUGGAGCAGUGGAAACGAGGGGCACGGCCACGCCUGCAGCCAGGGGCCUCCACCUUCUAGUAGAAAGAGUCUUGGGAGGGGCCUCUGUGGGGCGGCCCCUCUUUUCCAGGUGGCAGCCCCUGCGGCCCAAACUCCCUCCGUCAACCGUCCCUGCCGAAGAGGCCCCCAGAGCCGGUGUUCUGCCCCAGCUGAGCUCUCUCUCAACAAGUACUUCCAAAGGGCUCCACUAAGGGAAGAAAGUAAUCCCCACAAGUUCAAAAUGGAAAAGGACCAGCUUCUUUCAAAUCUCGACUCUUGUUGACUUAGAUAUUAGAGUGGACUGCAACAUAAAUAGAAAUUUGGAGUGUUGUUCUUGUUGUUGUUGUUUUGCUGAGGAAGAUUCGCCCUGAGCUAACACCUGUGCCGAUCUUCCUUCACUUUAUACGUGGGUCGCUCCCGCAGCAUGGCUGACAAGUGGUGUACCUCCACACCCAGGAGCCCAACCAGCGAACCCGGGCUGCAGGAGCAGAGUGUGCCAAUCUAACCACUAGGCCACAGGGCCCUCAUCCUGAAGUGGCUUUUUUUGGAGAAAGUGACUUGUUGAAGGGCAUAUACUUAUUUAAUGACAACUUAUAUUUAUAUAUAUGCAAGUAUAUAUGCAUAAUUUUAUAUUAAAUAUACAAAUAUAAAAUUGUUUUCUAUAUAUUAUAUAAAUGUAAUUUUAUAUAUACAUAUAGACAAUCAUAUAUAAAUAUAUAAUAUAUAAAAAUAUAUAUUUAUAUAUAUAUGUAUGUGUGUAUCUAUAAAAAAUAUUUAUAAUUCCCAACCAGUGUGCCCACAACACCAGGCUGCCUUUAUGGAGAAAAAGCGUGGAUUCUUCUGCGCCUUGGUACAACUUGACAGACGUAGCAGUCUGUCUCUGAGGAACUUAAAUGAGACACGGACAAUGUAAAUGAGGUCCCAGGGAAACCACUACCCUAACUUCUGACUUCACAAACUAUUUUUGCCUGUUUUUCAACUUAGGCUGAAGGUUUCAAGACACAUCUCAGGCAGCCCUACAGGAUCAGGCAAAGCAGCUAUGCCCAGCUCCGUAACGUAUUUUUGUUACUGGCUCUCCUUCCUUCCUUGCUUCACAUCCCUGUCCUUCCCUUCUGCUCCUGGUUCAUACUCUCCGCCAAAGAUAACCCAGAAAGAGCAACAUUCUACUCACUUUGUGGGAGGAGCCCAUGGAUUUCAGCAUCUCGGUGAUGUGGGGACUUUCCAGAUGCAGACACGUAGUGCCCAAGGCAACAACAGCAACAGUACCAUGUUGGUGGCUAGCCUCUGGUGGCCCACCUCUGGACCAACCUACCUCCACACUCAUGGCUGUGGAGUCCACCAGCCUCAAGUGAUGUGUCUAAGUGUUUGCUCUUCUAGCAAAAGGCAAAUGUGACUGGGAUGGUAGUCCAGUGUGAGCGAGCAUCCCUGGGGAUCCUUCGGCAUAUUGGGUUGCAAGUCCCAGCGUGCCUGACUCAGAAGACAUGCAAAAACAUUUGCUGAAUGAAUGAUAAGGGAAACACUCGAUUGCCUGCUAAUUUGGGCAGUUGAGGAUCCAGAGUUGUAUGUAUGCUUGCCAAUGAAAGGGAAAUAUUAUUUUUACCCCAACCUGUGAAUAUUGUUUAUAUCUCUUGUAAGUGUUCCCCAGGUAAAACUCAAAUAUUAGUUCCUUCCUUAUUUAGCCCCAAAAUAUCUAGCAUCAUCUUGGAGUAUGUGCCUCCCGACCGCCCUGGUAUACACAUAUACUCUUUGUUAACUAAGUAUAGUUUCUCCAGAGAAACAGAACCAAUAAGAUAUACGCAGAUAUAUAGAAAGAUAUUUAUUAUGAGAGAUUGGCUCGCGAGAUUAUGGAGUCUGAGAAGUCCCAUGAUCUACCAUUUGCAAGCUGGAGACUCAGGAAAGACGAUGGUGUGGAUCCAGUUCAAACUCAAGAGCACUGACGUCUGAGGGCAGGAGACCAUGGACGUCCCAGCUCACGCAGAGAGAGCAAUUGGCCCUUUCUCUGCCUUUUUGUUCUCGUCAGGCCCUCAGUGAAUGGAAUGAUGCCCACCCUGUUGGUGAGGGCCAUCUUCUACACGUCUCCCGAUUCAAAUGCUAAGCUCUUCUACGAAUACCUUUACAGACACACCCAGAUAUAAUGUUUUACCAG